rnacentral:lncRNA from 10 species
CAGCCUCCGGAGCAGCUGGGAUUACAGGCGCCCGCCAUCACGCCCAGGUUCUCCUUCUCUCCUCUAUCCUGCCACUUUGUGAAGAAGGUGCUUGCUUCUCCUUCACCUUCCACCAUGAUUAAAAAUAGAAUAUAAAAACUUCUCUACUCCUGACUCACCAACGCACCAGAACAACUUUUAGUCCUGCAAUCAUGAAGCAUUGAUUGAACAUCUUCUACAUAUUAUCACCACCCUAGACACUACAACAACAAAGAAGAGACAGCCGUCCUACAAUUUUUGCUGAUAUGUAUCAG